UACGUAGGGUGCGAGCGUUGUCCGGAAUUAUUGGGCGUAAAGAGCUCGUAGGCGGUUUGUCACGUCUGCUGUGAAAACCCGAGGCUCAACCUCGGGCCUGCAGUGGGUACGGGCAGACUAGAGUGCGGUAGGGGAGAUUGGAAUUCCUGGUGUAGCGGUGGAAUGCGCAGAUAUCAGGAGGAACACCGGUGGCGAAGGCGGGUCUCUGGGCCAUAACUGACGCUGAGGAGCGAAAGCGUGGGGAGCGAACAGG
rnacentral:rRNA from 1 species